rnacentral:rRNA from 1 species
GACGAACGCUGGCGGCGUGCUUAACACAUGCAAGUCGAACGGAAAGGCCCUGCUUUUGUGGGGUGCUCGAGUGGCGAACGGGUGAGUAACACGUGAGUAACCUGCCCUUGACUUUGGGGUAACUUCAGGAAACUGGGGCUAAUACCGGAUAGGAGCUCCUGCUGCAUGGUGGGGGUUGGAAAGUUUCGGCGGUUGGGGAUGGACUCGCGGCUUAUCAGCUUGUUGGUGAGGUAGUGGCUUACCAAGGCUUUGACGGGUAGCCGGCCUGAGAGGGUGACCGGCCACAUUGGGACUGAGAUACGGCCCAGACUCCUACGGGAGGCAGCAGUGGGGAAUAUUGCACAAUGGGCGGAAGCCUGAUGCAGCAACGCCGCGUGCGGGAUGACGGCCUUCGGGUUGUAAACCGCUUUCGCCUGUGACGAAGCGUGAGUGACGGUAAUGGGUAAAGAAGCACCGGCUAACUACGUG